rnacentral:rRNA from 1 species
UACGUAGGGUGCAAGCGUUGUCCGGAAUUAUUGGGCGUAAAGAGCUCGUAGGCGGCUUGUCGCGUCGGCUGUGAAAACCUGGGGCUCAACCCCCGGGCCUGCGGCCGAUACGGGCAAGCUAGAAUUCGGUAGGGGAGACUGGAAUUCCUGGUGGUAGCGGUGGAAUGCGCAGAUAUCAGGAGGAACACCAAUAGCGAAGGCAGCUCGCUGGGACGUACUGACACUGAGAUGCGAAAGCGUGGGGAGCAAACAGG